CAAGGAUAUCUAAUAGCGUUGGUUAGAAGAAAAGCACUAGUUGGACUAACCAGUAGUAACCAGUUUGUCUUAAUGAGUGAAUUGUUGAUGUCAGAAUUGCAGCAACAAUGAUGCAAAGACAUGGAUGCAGGAAGUGGAAUCGAGUGAUAAUGAGGAAAAAUCUCUCCCCAAUAAUCUAGUGGGUGGGAUAAAAUCCACCCAGUCAUGAAAGUGUAGCCCUUAUGGCUACAAAGGAAAGACCCAUAAUGCACAUUGCCAAUUCCAGAAUUUCUUCUGACAUAUGCAUUAAAACUUAAUUGGAGAGUUUCAAG